GUGUGUGUGUGUGUUUGUGUGCUCUAAUCACUGAACUGGCUUUACAUUACACAGACUUUCAUGAACCCUGAAACAGGAAGUGAACUGGUUCAGAACAACGACAAGUUAAACCACAAGCUUCAUUUUCACAUGUGCAGAUUAAAAUCAUCUGUUGAGAAGAUUCUCACAUCUGCACAUUUAUCUCCUCACCGUGAAGCUCUUCUCUGGUGGAAACUCCUGCAGGAUUUAUGGAUUUGAUCUGUCAAGUUCAUUUCAUUAGUCUAAUCUUUUUUGUAAUUCGUGUUAAACAAUAAACCGAUUUUUUUUAUCAGGUUAUUGUUACAGUAAACCUUCAGGAAUCAGUCUGUCUUUGCUGUCCAAGGAGGAUUCCCUCAAGGAACCAGAGAGAGCAGUAUGUUCUUGGUGGUGUGAUACUUUUUCCGUCAAUGAAGUAUCCAUUUAAAAAAAUAAUGCUAUGAACAUUUUUUGAUGCAGACAGUGGGACUGGAUAAGAUGGUGACUGAAGACCAGAGUGCAGAGGAACACCAACAAGAGAAACUGUUGUCCAAGAGAAGUGAGACUGACCUGAGUGGACCUUUCUUUAAACAGAUGUUCCAGCUCUGAGCAGCAUGAUGAGGCAAUUGCUUUUCGUACCCAUUCCACAGAUGAUGCACCGGUCUUACUCAGAAUCAAGAAGACUUUUCAGUAUAGGCAUAGGCUUGUCCAUGAUCAAGACAACAGACAUUCUGAAAGCCUUUCCUCGUUUUUUUGGGACUGGUAAGUUUGGAGAUUAAUUAAAAGUGUCAUGCACAGGAUUUAUGUGGAUUUUAUUUAAGGUGAAUCCAGACUUCUCACUACUCUUCAUUACUGAAAUAUCGUCUAAGUUGCUUUAAAGGUGGGCACUUUCAGGGCAAAAAUCAUUCAUGGACAUUACUUCAACUGCUUGUACACUCAUAUCUUAUGGUCACAUGUCUUACCUUCUUUAGUGGCUCCGGCCACUAACACAUAAUACAUUACCUCUAAAUUUAAACCCCCAAGCGAGCAAAAUGAACAAAAAACAACACAGUGGAUUAACGUUUUCUAUUCGAUUUAGAAAAUACCAGUUUUUAUGGUCGUUUCAUUUUAUUUUGUUGUAUUAAUCCACCAAACCUUAAAGGGUUAGGAUCCAAAAUAUUGUCUGACAUUAAACCGGGCCGUGGCAGAAAACAAGGGUUGGGGACCACUGCAUUAAUGCAUGUAAUUCCUGUAGUUUUCAAAAUAGCCAAGAUCCUGUUUAUUGCUGAUUGUAUAUCAUUUAUAGUCAAUAAGCUUGUGACUGAUUAUUUAUGCGUUUGUAGUAUGCAGUGUUGAAGACAAGGAAACUGUUAUUGAACUUGAAAAUCUGCAGCUUUACGAGCAUUUUGAUAUACAGUGUGCUUCUGGGGCAGAAAAAAGCAUGUGUGUUUUACUUCCUCAUUAUUAAAUAUAGUGUUUGAAUGAACGCUUUUCAGAGUUUGUGUUUUGAGAAGUUUAUUUGUUUUCUUUAGUUGAAAAGAAGCUAUGCUUUUCUAAUUUAUUGUAAAUUAACAAGUAAUUUUUGGAAAAUGUUUAUCCUAUUUAUUAUUCACAUUUUAGACAACAGUGAUG